GUGCUCACUUUGGCAGCACAUAUACUAUAAUUGCAAUGAUAUAGGGAAGAUUAACAUGGCCCCUGCACAAGGAUGACAUGCAAAUUCAUGAAGCAUUCCAUAUAUAU
rnacentral:snRNA from 1 species